AUCGCUUCUCGGCCUUUUGGCUAAGAUCAAGUGUAGUAUCUGUUCUUAUCAGUUUAAUAUCUGAUACGCCCUCUAUCCAAAGCCUAUGUGAAACAUAGAUGAUAUUCCACACUAUAGUUCAAUUCUUAGACUAGUUACUUUCAUGCUUGAGCUACUAUGGAUUAUGCCUGAAAAUACUACAUAGAUUGAAAGAAUCCCU
ensembl:snRNA U2 U2 spliceosomal RNA